CAGUCCCCGCUGACAAUGCUAACUAACAACAGUAGCUUUGAAGCUGCUUUACAGCAAUAUGCACAGCAAAACAACACAUACGAUAAGCAGAGGAACAACACUUUUGGAAACGGUGUGAUUUAUCUAGCUUAGCUAGCUGCUUUUACAUGUGUGAACGUCAACAUUUGUGGGAAAUGAACCAACUUUUCCUUUCUUUUCCAGUGUCCCAGCCCACAUGAACUGAAAAACAAAAGUCCCCAGUGAAAUUAGUAAAAAAAACUUUUUUUUUUAACUAUUAAAAGUUGGAAAUGCGUCUGUAUUAGCAAUACACGAAAACCUAAAUGUUUUUUCAUAAACUAUUUAAAGCCAUUAUUAGGCCUACCUGUGACCCCGGAAGUACUUAUUUAUAUAUUUAAUUGUUUACAAUUUUCGUUAUGACACCGCACGGCUAGAAAUCAACACCACAAGUGAAAAUGAGUGGUACAAACCGAAGGACUAACCUUUUGCAUUAGUACCGCAAAAGGUUAGUCAAUAACGAGUAAUGUAAGUUUGUUGGGCUGGCGAAAAACAACCUCAAACCGCAGCGCAGCAUUCACAGGCUAGAGUCGGAAGGUGAAUUACAUAACUUUGCCACCCCCUAUGCCCCGUAACUCUCAGCGGGGUGAAUUUGGUCAAGGCUCCACAACUGACAGUGAGCUGAGACAUAUUGACGAAGCUGCUGCUGAUGAAGAUAAUUAUGUUUUAAUUGUAGUUACUGUUUACAAGGCUGAUAAGUUAGCUAUGGACAACAACGUAUACCAAAUAUUGAGAACACUAAUCGCCUCACAGGGACAACCUCAAGUAGAACAACAUAUUACAAUGACUUCCCAAGCCUUGACAGCUCAUCAGCAAAGAGCGCUCAGUCACUGCACUAUGGAGGUCCAGGCACAUCUUCUUCUUCACUCCUCAGGUGUUGGUGAACGACCUGUCUCGAGACACCUGCCCCACGCUGCUGGUCAGGUGUGUGGAGAUUGACAAGGCUAGGGAAUCACGCCUAUUGCCAGGUUCCGGGUCCCUGGAAGUGAGAAUGCAUGUGAUGAUAUUUUCGUCAUUCCACGAGAGCAUGCAGGAGAUCGCUGCCAUGUUGAACCACCAUCUGCCCUGGUGAAGCUCAUGACCUUUAUGGGCCUCGGCAGGAUACCUCCAGAAGGAGCAGCUGGAGGUUGAAAGCAGCAUACCCCUCCACCGGUGACCAGCCAAUCAUGGACAUGGAUUGUGACUUUAUCAUGCUUAACAAUAAGAGUGACAGCUCAAAGGUCCAAUCCCCAACCAAGGAGAAGAAGGUGUUGGUUACCAAACCAGCACGCGCCAUUGCUGCUGCAGAACAAAUCUAUCUCAACCAGGUUGGCCUCAACUGCUGAACAUGAGCCCAAGUCAGAGGAACUGGAGGCUAUGUCUUACUUGCCCAAGUGUUGCCCAAGUGUGUUGCUGACCGCAAAUUGCGACCCUGAAUCAGAGGACCGAGUGCCUAAGUGUAAUUUUAGCCAACGUGACAGAGCUUUUGUCCAAGUUUCCUCCAUCCUUGCACCCUGACCCGGGCAGUUCUCUGUAUGACCCCUGGCCUAGACCCACCACUGUCACCACCAUAAAGGACUGUUCACUUACACCUGAACCACUGGUUGAAUCGCUGGAUGAACCACUGGAUGAGGGUCAGCCAUUCCUGGUGAAUUUCUCCAUAGAAAUGGAUAAGGACUUUCCCUAUCCUGCUUCUCAAUCUCCCAAUGUUGAUGCAAACAUUGGUUCUCCAUACUGUGAAAGUCAUUGUGAAGAUCACAAACCUCCUCAGAAGCAACAAUCCCCUUCUUCACCCAUUACUGUGCUGGCAUGGGGUAGUGGCAGUGCCAUUGGCAGCCCUAGUUGAGAUGAGGUCUUUGAGGAUGACGACAAUGACAUGAGGGAUGAUGAUAUGGACGACAAAGCAGACUUUGAGACGCCAUGACAUCCACUCAACUUAAAGCCCAACACUUUAAAACUAGCCUGGCACGAGAGCAUUGACCUGUUUGGAGAUGACAAGGCCUUCCUCCAGAUGACCAUCCCAGACAUCCCUAAACCAGGGAACAUCACUGUCCAGACAGCUAGCCCCAGAACGUGUUCAGAGAGGAAUGAGUCAAUAGUGUCAAGUGAAAGUUUUACAGAAACAAAUAUGUGGGACCAGGUAAAACCAGUAGCGCUGCAGGAGUCUGCUCAGGUGACUUGGCUGAAAAUCUCUGGCUCGUUCACUCCCUCCUUUAGUUUCCAGAGGAAGAGCAUGUUCACACCCCUGGCAGCCGAUCCAGAAGGGAAGAGGACGAAGAUCUCGGCUCUGACUUCACCUUUGACCUCCAAGUGUGGAGCUCUGUUCUCACCAAUCCUAACAUUGAGAAUGAGGUUGUGGGUCAUCCAGUUGGACAACAACUCCAAACACAUCAAAAGCACCCUGGAAAGGUUCAAGAAGAAACGUUCUGGAGUGUUCUGGAGUGGCCAGUGAAGAGUCCAGAUCUGAAUCACAUCCAUAACCUAUGGAAAGGGCUGAAAAAAGCAGUUGCGUCGUGCCUAAGAACAGCCCAUAGCCGUGGUAUAUUGGCCAUAUAACACACCCCCUCGUGGCUUAUUGCUCAAUGAUACCAUACUGAGUCAGAAUAUUGAGAGGUGUAAUAUAAUCUACAUGUAUAAACCUUGAACCAUAGUCUGUCUCCUAGCUACCUGUUGUCGGCAUGGCAACAUGCUCGCAGACUGCUUGUAUAAUAUCGAUUUUAUUUUCAUUUCCCAUUCAGACUGGCCUCUUUUAGGACAGCACCUGUUUUCUCUGAGACACCUCAGGUCAGUCAGGAAAGCCACGUGUUUGAUGAACCAUUUAUAAGAAAAGAUUACAAUACAUGCAAUAUAUGAUAGUCUUGGAGAUAGGCUCUGCUCCUUCGGCGUAGCUCACUGCCAGAGCAUGCAUCAUAAGAUAAGAUUAUAAUAAUAAUUAAAGGCAGAGAGCAAGGUAUGCUAUACCAAUCCCCCCGUAGGAACCAAACACAGAACCAAACAGGUGGCUGAUGGAAAAGCAGAAAACACCGAUAUGAUUGGCUCCCUAGAGGUGCAGCGGUCUAAGGCACUGCAUCUCAGUGCUAGAGGCAUCACUACAGACGCCCUGUUUCGAAUCCAGGCUGUAUCACAACCGGCUGUGAUUGGGAGUCCCAUAGGGUGGCGCACAUUUGGCCGGUGUAGGCCGUCAUUGUAAAUAAGAUUUUUAUUUCCCCCUAACUGUUCUUAACUGACUUGCCUAGUUCUAAAUAAAGGUUACCUGGUGACAUGGUGAGUAACACAUUACUGCCACAGCAUGGCAUCAAGAACACCAGGGAUGCCAUCAGAGUGUGUGCAGAGCCUAGUUCUAAAUAAAGGUUACCUGGCAACAUGGUGAGUAACACAUUACUGCCACAGCAUGGCAUCAAGAACACCAGGGCAGCCAUCAGAGUGUGUGCAGAGCCUAGCGGACUAAAUAGACCGCCAUGUUAACGUAGAGGGAUGAUCUAACUGGUGCAAUAUAAACUGAUGCUAUCAGCUGAUGCAUCACUCAGGUUUCCUGUCUGAACCAGCUGCGUUUGUUUUUUUGACAAACAAGACUAUUCAUCACACAAUUGUAUACAUGGCUUUGCCCAAGACAAAGAAAACCUGUGGAAAGUGCUUAAGGGUUCAGAAUGGUCAGAGUGGUCUUCUAACUAAAGAUUUAGACUUAUGUAGAAUACCAAUGAUACAAAUGCAAAAGUGUCUGAAAAAUAUUUAUUUGUUUGAGAGAUCAUCCCCUGUGUUACCGAAGGUUAACAUCUAUUCAAAUGAUGAUGAGGAUGAUUCUGUUGAUUCAUUGUUAUAUUUCCUCUCACAGUCAAUGCUCCUCAGUGAUGUCGAUUUUACCGGUAACAAGUUACCAGGAAGCUGAAGUAACAAGUUACCAGGAAGCUAAAGUAACAAGUUACCAGGAAGCUGAAGUAACAAGUUACCAGGAAGCUAAAGUAACACGUUACCAGGAAGCUGAAGUAACAAGUUACCAGGAAGCUAAAGUAACAAGUUACCAGGAAGCUGAAGUAACAAGUUACCAGGAAGCUGAAGUAACAAGUUACCAGGAAGCUAAAGUAACAAGUUACCAGGAAGCUGAAGUAACAAGUUACCAGGAAGCUAAAGUAACAAGUUACCAGGAAGCUGAAGUAACAAGUUACCAGGAAGCUGAAGUAACAAGUUACCAGGAAGUAACAAGUUACCAGGAAGCUGAAGUAACAAGUUACCAGGAAGUAACAAGUUACCAGGAAGCUGAAGUAACAAGUUACCAGGAAGCUGAAGUAACAAGUUACCAGGAAGUAACAAGUUACCAGGAAGCUGAAGUAACAAGUUACCGGGAAGCUAAAGUAACAAGUUACCAGGAAGCUAAAGUAACAAGUUACCAGGAAGUAACAAGUUACCAGGAAGCUAAAGUAACAAGUUACCAGGAAGCUGAAGUAACAAGUUACCAAGAAGCUAAAGUAACAAGUUACCAGGAAGCUGAAGCAUGCAGUGGCACACAUUGUUAGAUAAUUGCUUUCACCAUGUUAUGUGUUUGGUUCUCUUCACCUCAGAAUAAGGUGUGUGAACUUUAAUACCUCAAUUCUCUUUUACUCUUUUACAGUUCAAGCUAAGCAUCAAACAGUCAUUCCAAUGACUGUUGAACACGGUUUCUUCUGACCGUCAAAAUAAAGUUUACAUGGCUUUGACAAUGUCUUCCCAAUCUCUGUUCCAGUCAGAUGAUGUCCAACGAUGACUGUCCCUGCUCGGCUGCCUUCUCUGUUUGUUGACGCCCUAGUAGGGUGACCCUCUGCUCCAGCCUCUCUGACCUCUGUCUGUCUUUCGGAGGGUUCUGGAAACAGCAGGUAGAAGUAGUCAUAUAGUACAUGACUAGGAUAGUGUUCACUGAGCACGUAACAGAAGAAAAGCGUUUCUAGAACAGGGAGAUACUGUCUGACCUUGUUGAAUAAGAAAGCUCAGUUUCAUUUCCUGUUGUGCAACAUGGUGGCGAUGUAUUUUGUUUUGGUGUGCCUGACCCAGCACUCAAGCGUUUUGAUUUGGUCAAAGAGGCCACUGCUGGAUCAAGAGGCUUGGGCAUAACUGACACACAUACACUCAUUGUAUCUCCCUGUGUGACAGGUUCUGAGGUGCAGGAGGUUUACCUAAAGUCGUGGGAAGCCUUGCUGUGGCUGGCAAUUUCAAAACGGUCUACAAGCAAAACCACAACAUGGACGUCUUCUCUCAGGUACAGUUGUUUAUCAGGAUUUCAGUGGUUCCUAUUAAUCUUAGGGCCGGAUUCGCGGACAGAGGUUAAACUUGUCCUUGACUAAGAUGCACUUUCAAUGGAGCUGAUCAAAGAUGCACAAAGAAACAGAGGGGCGAGAAACGUCCCCAUCCACAUCGAGCUUCAAGUUCCUCGGUGUCCACAUUAGUAGUACGCGAGUCAGCUGUUUCUUCACCUGCACCCACCUGCAAUUGCUAAUAACCCAUCCUCAACCGCCCAACUAUGAAAGUGAUCAUUUGAGGCCUUGCAACCGACCCUGACACGCUUAUAUAGAAAAUGAGCUGUGGGCUACAGUUCCAGACGGCGGAACGAUUUUUUGACAGGGGGUACAGGACUUCUUUUUGCCUGAUUUAGAUAUGUUUAUGCUUAUAAUUUCCAACAUUUUGGAAGGCUAUUUGUUAGUCAAUUUACAUGUAACUUCUCUUCUUUUACUAUACAGAGCCUUAACUUUUUCCACAUUUUGUUAGGUUACAGCCUUAUUCUAAAAUGUUUUUAAAUCUUUAAAUCUACACGCAAUACCCCAUAAUAAAAAAUAAAAAACAUGUUUUGACAUUUUUGCUAAUUUAUAAAAAGAGAAAAAAAAGACAAUUACACAUACGUAUUCAGACCCUUUCCUUCAGUUUGUUGAAGCACCUUUGGCAGCAAUUACAGCCUUCAGUUUUCUUGGGUAUGACGCUAAGCGUGGCACACCUAUAUUUGGGGAGUUUCUCCCAUUCUUGAUUGGAUGGGGAGCGUUGCUGCACAGCUAUUUUCAGGUCUCUCCAGAGGUGUUCGAUCGGGUUCAGGUCUGGGCUCUAGAUGGGCCACUCAAGGACAUUUAGAGAUUUUUCCCAAAGCCACUCCUGCUUUGUCUUUGCUGUGUCCUUAGGGUUGUUGUCCUGUUGGAAGGAGAACCUUCACCCCAGUCUGAGGUCCUGAGUGCUCUGGAGCAGGUUUUCAUCUCGGAGCUCUACGGACAAUUCCUUCAACCUCAUGGCUUAGUUUUUGCUCUGACAUGCACUGUCAACUGUGGGACCUUUAUAUAGACAGGUGUGUCUUUCCAUAUCAUGUCCAAUCAAUUGAAUUUACCACAUGUGGACUCCAAUCAAGUUGUCAAUGGAAUGGAAUCAAUGGAAACAAGAUGCCCCUGAGCUUAUUUUCGAGUCUCAUGGCAAAGGGUCUGAAUACUUUUAUUUUGAAUACAUUUUCAAAAUUUGUCAUUAUUGGUUAUUAUGUGUAGAUUGCUGAGGAAUUUAUUUUAUUUAAUCAAUUUUAGAAUAAGGCUGUAACGUAACAAAAUGUGGAAAAGGUCAAGGGGCUGAAUACCUUCCCAAGGCACUGUAUGUUGACCUAGAAGACGAAAUAAACUGCUCACCAGAAUAAUGUCAUAAAGUGAUUCAAUCUAGUUGACAUCGUAAAGUAUUUUCUGUCAUCUCUGCUACUUUCACAGAGCAUUGACGUGUAGGGACCGGGGAUACAAUUCAAUAAUUUUAAAAAAAGUAGAAAGAUGUUCUUUGCAAAAUUGAAAACUGGUGAAAACAACCCAACAUAUUUCUGAUAAGAUUUCAGUUGGGCUUGAAUGCAUAUUUUAUGUGAUUGAAAUACUUUCAGUUUUCAGGAUGCUGAUAAAUAUAGCACCUCGCAUUCUCUCAAGAGGCUGAAAGAAAUAAAUCAUAUUUUUCGACUAGGGUUGGGCUGUAUCCAGAUUUUCAUACCGUCAUACCAGUUCUGUACUAUACCAGGCUAUACAAUAUAACCAAAUGUGCACCCAAGGGGAGCUAUUUAAACAACAAAAAAAAAUAUACAAAUAUUUGUUUCUUCUUUUUUUUUUAAACGGUAUUGAAAAUCAUCCCACCGGUAUACGGUAUAAAAGGUAUAUCGCCCAAGCCUUUUCUCCACUCCCUUUCCCUACAUUUGGUGAAUAAUUUUACUGCAAGAAAUGCUUAAUUCCAGAGGAGUUAUUAUUAAGGCUAUGUGAGAGGUUAUAGAUCUACAGUCAGUGUCCAUAUUUCAGUUUCCAUUUAAUCCAUCUGAACGGUAAGAUACAGUUCCUUUGACGUACCAUAGGCCUAUUUGAAGUCCCUGUCUUGUGACACUAGAAUUUCUAUAGCGCCUCACAAUCAUCACCAAAUCUUUCCCAAACAUUACUAUCAGGAAUCAAGGUAAGACCCAGAUGCAGACUGUCGAAGUAAAAAUGUUUAUUGUGGCAACAGGGGCAGGGAAGGACAGGUCAAGGCAGGCAGGGGUCGAAAAUCCAGGGUAAGGCAAAGGUACAGGACGGCAGGCGGACUCAGGGUCAGGGACAGGCAGAGUUCAGUAAUCCAGAGGUGGAGUAAAGGUACAGGACGGCAGGCAGACUCAGGGUCAGGCAGAGUUCAGUAAUCCAGAGGUGGAGCGAAGGUACAAGACGGCAGGCAGACUCAGGGUCAGGCAGAGUUCAGUAAUCCAGAGGUGGAGCGAAGGUACAGGACGGCAGGCAGACUCAGGGUCAGGCAGAGUUCAGUAAUCCAGAGGUGGAGCGAAGGUACAGGACGGCAGGCAGACUCAGGGUCAGGGUCAGGCAGAGUUCAGUAAUCCAGAGGUGGAGCAAAGGUACAGGACGGCAGGCAGACUCAGGGUCAGGCAGAGUUCAGUAAUCCAGAGGUGGAGCGAAGGUACAGGACGGCAGGCAGACUCAGGGUCAGGCAGAGUUCAGUAAUCCAGAGGUGGAGCGAAGGUACAGGACGGCAGGCAGACUCAGGGUCAGGCAGAGUUCAGUAAUCCAGAGGUGGAGCAAAGGUACAGGACGGCAGGCAGACUCAGGGUCAGGCAGAGUUCAGUAAUCCAGGGUAAGGAGAAGGUACAGGACGGCAGGCAGACUCAGGGUCAGGCAGAGUUCAGUAAUCCAGAGGUGGAGCGAAGGUACAGGACGGCAGGCAGACUCAGGGUCAGGCAGAGUUCAGUAAUCCAGAGGUGGAGCAAAGGUACAGGACGGCAGGCAGACUCAGGGUCAGGCAGAGUUCAGUAAUCCAGAGGUGGAGCAAAGGUACAGGACGGCAGGCAGACUCAGGGUCAGGCAGAGUUCAGUAAUCCAGAGGUGGAGCGAAG